AGAGUUUGAUCCUGGCUCAGGACGAACGCUGGCGGCGUGCUCAACACAUGCAAGUCGAACGGAAAGGCCCUUCGGGGUACUCGAGUGGCGAACGGGUGAGUAACACGUGGGUGAUCUGCCCUGCACUUUGGGAUAAGCCUGGGAAACUGGGUCUAAUACCGAAUAUGACCACGCUCUUCAUGGGGUGUGGUGGAAAGCUUUUGCGGUGUGGGAUGGGCCCGCGGCCUAUCAGCUUGUUGGUGGGGUAAUGGCCUACCAAGGCGACGACGGGUAGCCGGCCUGAGAGGGUGACCGGCCACACUGGGACUGAGAUACGGCCCAGACUCCUACGGGAGGCAGCAGUGGGGAAUAUUGCACAAUGGGCGCAAGCCUGAUGCAGCGACGCCGCGUGAGGGAUGACGGCCUUCGGGUUGUAAACCUCUUUCACCAGGGACGAAGCGCAAGUGACGGUACCUGGAGAAGAAGCACCGGCCAACUACGUGCCAGCAGCCGCGGUAAUACGUAGGGUGCGAGCGUUGUCCGGAAUUACUGGGCGUAAAGAGCUCGUAGGUGGUUUGUCGCGUUGUUCGUGAAAACUCACAGCUUAACUGUGGGCGUGCGGGCGAUACGGGCAGACUAGAGUACUGCAGGGGAGACUGGAAUUCCUGGUGUAGCGGUGGAAUGCGCAGAUAUCAGGAGGAACACCGGUGGCGAAGGCGGGUCUCUGGGCAGUAACUGACGCUGAGGAGCGAAAGCGUGGGGAGCGAACAGGAUUAGAUACCCUGGUAGUC
rnacentral:rRNA from 1 species